rnacentral:rRNA from 1 species
AACGAACGCUGGCGGCAUGCCUAACACAUGCAAGUCGAACGAAACCUUCGGGUCUAGUGGCGCACGGGUGCGUAACGCGUGGGAACCUGCCCUUAGGUUCGGAAUAACUCCCCGAAAGGGGUGCUAAUACCGGAUGAUGUCUUCGGACCAAAGAUUUAUCGCCUUUGGAUGGGCCCGCGUUGGAUUAGCUAGUUGGUAGGGUAAAAGCCUACCAAGGCGACGAUCCAUAGCUGGUCUGAGAGGAUGAUCAGCCACACUGGGACUGAGACACGGCCCAGACUCCUACGGGAGGCAGCAGUGGGGAAUAUUGGACAAUGGGCGAAAGCCUGAUCCAGCAAUGCCGCGUGAGUGAUGAAGGCCUUAGGGUUGUAAAGCUCUUUUACCCGGGAUGAUAAUGACAGUACCGGGAGAAUAAGCCCCGGCUAACUCCGUG